AUAGAACACACCACCCAACAACAGAAUAUAGAACACGCCACUCAACAACAGAAUAUAGAACAAUCCACCAAACAACAGAAUAUAGAACACUCUACCCAACAACAGAAUAUAGAACAUGCCACCCAACAACAGAAUAUAUAUGCUUUUAAUGUCUGUAUAGUAUAUUCUCAAAGACAGACAAAUCUCAACAUACUUAAAGAGACUGAAAUCAAGGUACAUUCUCUUGACUUCAACAGAAAUUAGAAAUCAAUAAUAAAAAGCUAUCUAGAACCCCCUACUAAAUAUUUAAAAAUUAGCAUACUUCUAAAUAAUUCACAGCAAGAAAUUACAAGGGGAAAUUGCUCCCUCUGUCGCCCAGGCUGGAGUGCAGUAGCGCGACCUCGGAUCACUGCAACCUCGCCUCCAGGGUUCAAGUCAUUCUCCGGCCUCAGCCUCCCGAGUAUCUGGGAUUACAAGCACAAGCCACCACACCUGACUAAUUUUUGUAUUUUUAGUACAGACGGGGUUUCAACAUGUUGGGCAGACUGGUCUCAAACUCCUGACCUCAAGUGAUCCACCACCCACCUUGGCCUCCCAAACCGCUAGGAUUACAGGCGUGAGCCACUGCUGCCCCACCAGAAAAUAUUUUUAAUUUAAAGAAAAUUUUUAAAAAAUUCAAAAAUUGUGGGAAACAGUUAAAACAAUACCGUGAGAGCAAAAAUCACGACAAAGGAUUAUCAAUGAGAAAGACCUCGAAAAUCAGUGAUCCAAGAGUCUGCUUUUAAAAACUUAAACUAGCCUGGUGCAGUGGCUCACACCUGUAAUCCUAGCACUCUGGGAGGCCGAGGCAGGCGGAUCACCUUUGGUCAGGAGUUCCGACACCAGCCUCGCCAACAUAGUGAAAUCCCAUCUCUACUAAAGAUACAAAAAUUAGCUGGGCAUGGUGGUACAUGCCUGCAG
rnacentral:lncRNA from 1 species